rnacentral:miRNA from 1 species
GAAGACAAACUUGAAUUACUUCAUAUGAACUUUAUUUCACUACAAAUUUGUUUCGUAUGACAAGAAGAGUCUUGCCAUACGAAACAAAUUUGUAGUGAAAUAAAGUUCAUAUGAAGUAAUUCA